rnacentral:rRNA from 1 species
ACUCAAAGGAAUAGACGGGGGCCCGCACAAGCAGUGGAGUAUGUGGUUUAAUUCGAAGCAACGCGAAGAACCUUACCAGGGCUUGACAUCCCACGCAUAGCCAAGAGAUUGGUGAAACCCUUCGGGGCGUGGAGACAGGUGGUGCAUGGUUGUCGUCAGCUCGUGUCGUGAGAUGUUGGGUUAAGUCCCGCAACGAGCGCAACCCCUGUUGUUAGUUGCCAUCAUUAAGUUGGGGACUCUAGCAAGACUGCCGGUGGACAAAUCGGAGGAAGGUGGGGACGACGUCAAAUCAUCAUGCCCCUUAUGUCCUGGGCUACACACGUACUACAAUGGUCAGUACAGAGGGAAGCGAAGGAGUAAUCCGGAGCGAAGCCCCAAAACUGAUCUCAGUUCGGAUUGUGGGCUGAAACUCGCCCGCAUGAAGUCGGAAUUGCUAGUAAUGGCAGGUCAGCAUACUGCCGUGAAUACGUUCCCGGGCCUUGUACACACCGCCCGU